GGCCGUGGCGCACACCUUCCCUAGUCACUGGCGCUCGUCCUCGUGACAAAAGAAAACUUCAGGCUCGGUUUUCCAGCUCGCAAACAGUUAAGUGACUUCCUGCAAACGCUAGAGUCCCAGCAACCAGCCUUCCAAUCAAAAUCACAGGCUCCCCUGAACAGUAUGAAUGCCGUGCCCGGUCCCUGAGACGGUGCGACUAAAGCAUUCCAAGAUGUUUCUUUGCCCUCUUCGGCUGGAAAAGUGACCUCCAAGAAGUUUCUUUGCAAGGUGGUUCUGGCUCAGAGUCUCUCUCUCUGUCAAAUCUGCAGUCAGGUAUCGUCUGGGGCUGUAGUCAUCUGAAGGCCGAAGGGAGGAUCUCCUUCUGAUUGCAUUCACGUGGCUGUCGGCACACUUCAAAUCUGUUUCCAGAUUCACGCCCAUGGGCCUGUCUGCAAGGCUGCCCCAUGACAUGGCGGCCAGCUUCUCCUAGAGCAAGUGAACUGAGAGAGCAUGAGAGAGAGCAUGUGACAAGGAAGCCACAGUCUUUGUAUAUCAUAAUCUUGGAACCAAUCACUCAUCCUUUCUGCUGUGUUCUAUUUUUUUUUAAGUCUGGAGGCUGGGAAAGCCCAAAAUCAGGGUCCAGCAUGGUUGGCUUCUGAUGGGGGCCCUCAUCCUGGCUUGUAGCUGGCCGUCUGCUCGCUGUGUCCUCACAUAGUGGAGGGCAGAGAGCUCUCUUGCGUCUCUUCUUACAAAGGCACCAACCACCCAUCAUGAGGGCUCCGCCUCACCUCCCAAAGGCCUCAUCUCCAAAUACCAUCAUGCCAGGGAUUAGAGUUUCAACAUGUGAAUUUGGGGGAAACACAUUCAAUUUACAGAAGCAAUAAGUUCCUACUCAUUCAAACACUUCCCCUCCCUUCCCUCCACCCCCGCCUGCAGGCUGUCACCUGCUUUGGAGGACAAUUUUUCUCUUUUAAGCUUAUUUAUCUAUUUCGAGAGAGAGUGAGCAAGUCUGGGUAUGUGAAUAGGGGAGGGAGAGAGAGGAUCCAAAGCAGGCUCUGCAGUCAGCGUGGAGCACAGUGUGGGGCUCGAUCGCACGAACUCUAAGAUCAUGACCUGAGCUGCAGUCAAGAGUCGGACGCUUAGCCACUGAGGCAGGCUUAACGGAUAGAGCUUACCAGGCGCCCCUGGAGGACAACUCUUUUGGAGAGCCUUGGAUUUUCCAGACUGUUCCAUUGCCUCUCAGACAUCAGCUCACCAGAGUUUGCCCUGAAACGCACACAGUGAUUUCUGUGCUAGAUACUGACUUUUUGGUAUUUCCUGCUGGAGCUUUGUUUGGGUGGAGUCCCCUUUGGAAGUACCAGGGUUUUCCUGUUUGUGCAGUUGCUUUGCAAAACCUUAAAUAAACUCUGUUGUGGUGUGUUCAGAAUCAUAACCACUCAACAACUAUUUAUUAAGUAAGCACCUACUAGGAGCCUGGGCACCGUUCAAGCAGCUGGGUAUACAGUGGUGACCUCAGGGGACACCGCUUUCAAAGAGCUUUCAGUCAGGCCCAGGACACAGACUGGUAAACAGGCAUUUGCCCUCUCCACGUGGUGAGAGCCGCGAAGGAUAAAGUCCAGGGUGCGGGAGGAGAGGCGGGGUGCAGAGAGCAGAGACAGCGGACCCAGGGUCGGACGGGCAGGGCUUGGGGGUGUGGGUGUGUCAGCACAGGCUUCCUGGGGCCAAAUCCAGCUAGGCUGCACCCCAAAUCCAAGAAACUAAUUUUCAUAGAAGCUUUUCUCAUUUAUCUGCGAGGAGGUGACUCGGCUUGAUUUGCAAGAACACUUUUUCAAGUCUUUUUUUUAUUAACUUGUUUUAUUUUCUAUUCUUUAAAAUUUACAUCCAAAUUAGUUAGCAUAUGGUGCAACAGUGAUUUCAGGAGUAGAUUCCUUAGUGCCCUUUACCCGUUUAGCCCAUCCCCCCUGCCACAAUCCCUCCCUUGACCCUCAGUUUGUUCUCCCUAUUUACGAGUC